GGCGCCGUACCCAAGUGGUAAGGGAGCAGUCUGCAAAACUGUUAUGCGGCGGUUCGAACCCGCCCGGCGCCUCCA
rnacentral:tRNA from 1 species